AAUCACUUGUCUUUUAAAUGGAGACCUGUAUGAAUGGCAUAACGAGGGCUUAACUGUCCCCUUUUUCUAGUCAAUGAAAUUGAUCUCCCCGUGCAGAAGCGGGGAUAUACCCAUAAGACGAGAAGACCCUGUGGAGCUUUAGACAUCAGGGCAUAUCAUGCUAAAUAACUACUAAUCAAAGAAUCAAGCUAAGUUGAACCCAUGCCUGUAUGUCUUCGGUUGGGGCGACCGAGGGGAAUAAAAAACCCCCGCGUGGAAUGGAAGUCUUUACCUCCUACAACCAAGAGCUUACAACUCUAAGAACCAGAAUUUCUGACCAAAGAGAUCCGGCAACGCCGAUCAACGGACCUAGUUACCCCAGGGAUAACAGCGCAAUCCCCUUUUAGAGCCC
rnacentral:rRNA from 1 species